UUUUUUAAUUGGGGACUGGAAUGAAGGAUAAAAAUUAUGGGGGUGUGUUUUAUUUGGUUAUUUUGAAUUUAAAUUUAAAGUAAAAAUGCUUUAAUGGAAUCUUGGGACGAGAAGACCCUAGAAGCUUAAAAUGUAAAUUAAUUUUUUGUUGGGGCAAUAAUUGAAGAGGAUAUAAAUAAUUUUUAAUUUUUUGUAAGUAAAAUUUGAGAAAGUUACUCUAGGGAUAACAGCGUUAUUUAGUUAGCAAGUUCUUAUUAAUAACUAAGAUUGCGACCUCGAUGUUGAAUUAAAUGUAAGGUAGGGUGAAGGAGCUUUAAAGUUUUAGUCUGUUCGACUAUAAAAUUUUUACGUGAUCUGAGUUCAGACCGGA
rnacentral:rRNA from 1 species